AACGUCGAUAGAGCAACAGUGAAAAGUGAACGUGAAAGUAAAAAUGUGUGAAACUUCGGAUAAACCUGCUGAAGGAGUUUGAACUUGAAAAAGUGCACGACUAUCUAAUCGAUUGAAAUUGACUUUCAAAUGCUCUAUCCUGGCAAAGGUCAUUUGCUUUUGUCGAAGUGGGAAGAAUUCAAAGUCAAAAUUUUGACUCAUUACUCAACCCACCUUCGUAACGACUUUUGUAAACAACAACUGGCAGUAGCAAAGUCGUCUACAAAUAAAGAUCUCCAAGACUUCCUUGUAUCGAUAUUAUUAAAUGGCAUUUUGCCUUGUGGUUCGCGCUUUAAAAAUAGCGAAAACUGCAAAGCUACAAAAAAACUGACGAUUGCGGAUUCCCAGGAGUCUUUCGUACUUCAAAUAGAGACCCUGAACAAUAUACGCCCUAAGAUAGACGAACUAGUGAAUAAGUUCUAUUUAAAAAAAGAAUCCUUGCAGCCAUUUCUUACUAUAACUAAACUAA